AGAGUUUGAUCAUGGCUCAGAUUGAACGCUGGCGGCAGGCCUAACACAUGCAAGUCGAGCGGAAACGAGUUAUCUGAACCUUCGGGGAACGAUAACGGCGUCGAGCGGCGGACGGGUGAGUAAUGCCUAGGAAAUUGCCCUGAUGUGGGGGAUAACCAUUGGAAACGAUGGCUAAUACCGCAUGAUGCCUACGGGCCAAAGAGGGGGACCUUCGGGCCUCUCGCGUCAGGAUAUGCCUAGGUGGGAUUAGCUAGUUGGUGAGGUAAGGGCUCACCAAGGCGACGAUCCCUAGCUGGUCUGAGAGGAUGAUCAGCCACACUGGAACUGAGACACGGUCCAGACUCCUACGGGAGGCAGCAGUGGGGAAUAUUGCACAAUGGGCGCAAGCCUGAUGCAGCCAUGCCGCGUGUAUGAAGAAGGCCUUCGGGUUGUAAAGUACUUUCAGUCGUGAGGAAGGCGGCGUCGUUAAUAGCGGGGUUGUUUGACGUUAGCGACAGAAGAAGCACCGGCUAACUCCGUGCCAGCAGCCGCGGUAAUACGGAGGGUGCGAGCGUUAAUCGGAAUUACUGGGCGUAAAGCGCAUGCAGGUGGUUUGUUAAGUCAGAUGUGAAAGCCCGGGGCUCAACCUCGGAAUAGCAUUUGAAACUGGCAGACUAGAGUACUGUAGAGG
rnacentral:rRNA from 1 species